GAAAGGACGGGUAAUACCGGAUACCCCGGGGUGCCGCAUGGCACCCCGGCUAAAGCCCCGACGGGAGGGGAUGGCUCCGCGGCCCAUCAGGUAGACGGCGGGGUGACGGCCCACCGUGCCGACAACGGGUAGCCGGGUUGAGAGACCGACCGGCCAGAUUGGGACUGAGACACGGCCCAGACUCCUACGGGAGGCAGCAGUGGGGAAUCUUGCGCAAUGGGGGGAACCCUGACGCAGCGACGCCGCGUGCGGGACGGAGGCCUUCGGGUCGUAAACCGCUUUCAGCAGGGAAGAGUCAAGACUGUACCUGCAGAAGAAGCCCCGGCUAACUACGUGCCAGCAGCCGCGGUAAUACGUAGGGGGCGAGCGUUAUCCGGAUUCAUUGGGCGUAAAGCGCGCGUAGGCGGCCCGGCAGGCCGGGGGUCGAAGCGGGGGGCUCAACCCCCCGAAGCCCCCGGAACCUCCGCGGCUUGGGUCCGGUAGGGGAGGGUGGAACACCCGGUGUAGCGGUGGAAUGCGCAGAUAUCGGGUGGAACACCGGUGGCGAAGGCGGCCCUCUGGGCCGAGACCGACGCUGAGGCGCGAAAGCUGGGGGAGCGAACAGGAUUAGAUACCCUGGUAGUCCCAGCCGUAAACGAUGGACGCUAGGUGUGGGGGGACGAUCCCCCCGUGCC
rnacentral:rRNA from 1 species